AUGUGAUCUGAUCUGAUUUUAUUUGAAUCAGUCUGUUGUGAUUAUGUCUGAUCAGAUCUAUUCCAACUUUAUUUGAAUGGAUUUUCUUAGAUUGUAUUUUGUGUGAUUCUAUCGGAGCUCGGUUCUUGUCAGUGGAACUCUGGUCAGGGUUUCCUGUUAGAGGUGUGGGUGGAUCUGGGAGGGAUCGUGGGAUACCUCCAGUGAUCCCCCCCUUACAGUGAAGCUCCACUCUGUCAGAAGGUGAACAGGAUGCAGACGGCAUGUCACACAGGAGUAACAUGUAUGUCUGUAUCCCACCCUGGACCCACAGUGGAGUCCACAGUGACAAGAUCACAGUUCAGGAGAGUCACACUGGCAUUUAAAAGGGGGGUUAAAUGUCUUAUUUAAGAAAAUAAAUGUAGUAUGAGGGUGAAGGUCUCGCUGCCAGAGGGAAGUUUCCAGAAAAAAAGGUACGUAAGGAUCCCUGUGAAUGCUGCUGUAUGAAAAGGUGAGUUUGGGAUUUUGAUUUUGCAUUGAUAUAUCUAAUAUUUUGAAAUCUCAACAAUAACAACACUUGGAGAAGAUUCUGCUGCGUUUUUCUUUUUGAUUUCUUUUAGACUGAUGACCCUGGGACCCAAGACCAAGACAAGGAUGACCCCAAAAGACGACUUGAAGACGAGUGGCCGAGCCCCAACAGAGAUGACGCCAGAGACGACGACCAGCCUGUGAGGAGAAGAAAGAACAACUUUAUUGAGACAUUACUGGAUGCACUGGUGCUUCAAUGACACCAAGCAGAUUCAGACAGGAUGGAACAGAGAUGAUGGGAGGCAGAUCCAGGACCAGUGCAUGACCAUCGCGAGACCAUUCAGUUAACACAAGAGCUCUCUCUCCAAGAUCCCCAAUCUAAUGAAAGAUCAGAUCAACAAACCAGACAAGGAAAAACCCAUGAUGUGAAUCCAGAUUAUGAAAGAGGGGAUGAUUAUUAUAGUGACACAAAAGGGGGAAGUCGGAGCACCCAGAGGAAACCCACACAGUCGCAGAGAGAACAUGAACAGAAAGAACCAGCUGAGCAGCAGAAGAUAAAGAGAUGGUUGGAGGAGCCCCAGGACAGCAGAACCAGGCCAGGAAGAUGAAGAAGAUGAAGACCAGCCCCAAAUGGACAAGAAGAAGAAGAAGAGCGGCUCCAGAUUUCUCCAAUGGUUUCUCUGGAUCUGGAGCUGCAUGUUUCUGAUCUGCUGUUAUUGGCCUCAGCGACCUCCACAGUCUUCAUGUUCUUUUUAAAUAGAUUUACUGUUUUACAUUUUGAUGUACAGUAUAUAUGUAAUUUGGAGUUAAAAUAAGUGUAAUAGAUAUGAAACGAGGGAGAAAUAAAAUGAGGAACAUUCAUGAGAGCUGGUUUGUGAUGUUGCAGAGCUCUGUGUGUUUUUAGUCUCUGCUCACUAAAGACAAAGUGAGGAUUUAAGUUCAGAAGAUUUCAUUCUGAAUCAAUCUCUGAGCAGAAAUGUGAAACAUCUUUCUGAAAUCCUGAAACUGGAGUCGAUCAAAGACUCAAUGUGCAGCAACAUGUUCUCCUCUGAUGCUCCUCGUUGAGUUCCUCUGAGGUUCUCUUCAGCAUCCCUCUUUGAGCAGCUUCACCUCUUUGCUCCGGUUUCCUGAGAGUCUGUGUUGAAAUGUUUCUUUUGUUUUUCCUUCCAGAGGACGUUGGACUGCAGGUCCUCGCCGGACUGCUUCAGGUGCAGUACACCUCCAUGCUCUCCUUCCUCCUGCCCCCCUCCCUCCAAGCGUCCUCGCUAUUCUUCCUCCCUCUCUCCUCUCUCCUCCCUCUCCUCCUUCCACUCUCACUCUUCUUUUUCGCCUAUUCCUCCUUCACUCUUUCCUCUCUCCUCCCCCUCGUCUUCCGCCUUUCACCCUUAUUUUUCUCCCCUUAAUCCCCCUGUCUCUUCUCUCCCUCACCCUCCUCUUUCCCCAUUCUCUCCUAUGUCCUUCCCCUCCUCUUUCCCCUCGCACUCUUCUUUUGCUCCCCUCCCUCCCCCAUUCUCUCCUAUCUCCUCCCCCUCCUCCUUCCCUCCCUGCUCUUCUUUUUAUCCCUUCUUUUGCCCCGUCUCUGCUCCUCUUCCU